GAUGAACGCUGGCGGCGUGCCUAAUACAUGCAAGUCGAGCGAACGGACGAGAAGCUUGCUUUUCUGAUGUUAGCGGCGGACGGGUGAGUAACACGUGGAUAACCUACCUAUAAGACUGGGAUAACUUCGGGAAACCGGAGCUAAUACCGGAUAAUAUUUUGAACCGCAUGGUUCAAAAGUGAAAGACGGUCUUGCUGUCACUUAUAGAUGGAUCCGCGCUGCAUUAGCUAGUUGGUAAGGUAACGGCUUACCAAGGCAACGAUGCAUAGCCGACGUGAGAGGGUGAUCGGCCACACUGGAACGGAGACACGGUCCAGACGCCUACGGGAGGCAGCAGUAGGGAAUCUUCCGCAAUGGGCGAAAGCCUGACGGAGCAACGCCGAGUGAGUGAUGAAGGUCUUCGGAUCGUAAAACUCUGUUAUUAGGGAAGAACAUAUGUGUAAGUAACUGUGCACAUCUUGACGGUACCUAAUCAGAAAGCCACGGCUAACUACGUG
rnacentral:rRNA from 1 species